rnacentral:rRNA from 1 species
UCUGCUCAAUGAUUUUUUAAAUUGCUGUAGUAUUUUGACUAUACAAAGGUAUUGAAAUAAGAUUUUAAUUGAAUGCUAAGAGAAUGGAAGUCCAGAAAAAAACUUUUUUUAAAUUAAAAAUUGAAGUUUUUUUAAUUUGUGCAGAAACAAUUAUUUAUAUUAAAGACAAGAAGACCCUAUGAAUUUAUUAAAUUUUUAUUUAAUAUGUAAUUACUAUUAGAAAAAUUUUGGCUGGGGCGGCUAGAAAAUAUUAUGAACUUUUUAAAAAUAAAAUGAUCCAU